rnacentral:rRNA from 1 species
UACGAAGGGUGCAAGCGUUAGUCGGAAUUACUGGGCGUAAAGCGCGUGUAGGCGGCCCGGUAAGUCCGCUGUGAAAGUCCAGGGCUCAACCCUGGGAUGCCGGUGGAUACUGUCGGGCUCGAGUCCGGAAGAGGCGAGUGGAAUUCCUGGUGUAGCGGUGAAAUGCGCAGAUAUCAGGAGGAACACCAAUGGCGAAGGCAGCUCGCUGGGACGUGACUGACGCUGAGACGCGAAAGCGUGGGGAGCAAACAGG